rnacentral:rRNA from 1 species
GGAUGAACGUUGGCGGCGUGCCUAAUACAUGCAAGUCGAACGAAGACUGUAGUAAUACUGUCUUAGUGGCGAACGGGUGAGUAACGCGUGGGUGGCCUGCCCCGAAGUGUGGGAUAACAGUCCGAAAGGAUUGCUAAUACUGCAUAAUAUCCAAGAGAUUAGAUGCUUUUGGAUUAAAGGAGUAAUUCGCUUCGGGAGGGGCCCGCGUCCCAUCAGCUAGUUGGUAGGGUAAUAGCCUACCAAGGCUUUGACGGGUAGGGGACCUGAGAGGGUGGCCCCCCACAAUGGAACUGAAACACGGUCCAUACACCUACGGGUGGCAGCAGUAGGGAAUAUUAGGAAUGGACGAAAGUCUGAUCUAGCGACACCGCGUGUGCGAUGAAGGCCUUCGGGUUGUAAAGCACUUUUUGGAAGGAAUAGGAAGGAAGGUACUUCCAGAAUAAGUCUCGGCUAACUACGUGCCAGCAGCCGCGGUAACACGUAGGAGGCAAACGUUAUCCGGAUUUACUGGGCGUAAAGCGCGUGUAGGUGGUUCUGUAAGUAGGGCGUGAAAGCUCCCGGCUCAACUGGGAGAGGCCGUUCUAAACUGCAGAGCUAGAGGAUGGUAGAGGGAGGUGGAAUUCCAGGUGUAGCGGUGGAAUGCGCAGAUAUCUGGAGGAACACCAGUGGCGAAAGCGGCCUCCUGGACCAUUCCUGACACUCAGACGCGAAAGCUAGGGUAGCAAACGGGAUUAGAGACCCCGGUAGUCCUAGCCCUAAACGAUGUAGACUAGGCGUCGGUGGUUUAAACGCCAUCGGUGUCCAAGCUAACGCGAUAAGUCUACCGCCUGGGGACUACGGCCGCAAGGUUAAAACUCAAAGGAAUUGACGGGUCCCCGCACAAGCAGCGGAGCGUGUGGUUUAAUUCGUUGCUACACGAAGAACCUUACCUGGGUUUGACAUAGCAGUGGUAGGGAAGCGAAAGCAGACCGACCCUUCGGGGAGCUGUUACAGGUGUUGCAUGGCUGUCGUCAGCUCGUGUCGUGAGAUGUUGGGUUAAGUCCCGCAACGAGCGCAACCCCUGCUUUCAGUUACCAUCAUUAAGUUGGGGACUCUGGAAGGACCGCUGUGGUAACAACGCAGAGGAAGAUGGGGACGAGGUCAAGUCAUCAUGGUCCUUAUGACCGGGGCUACACACGUGCUACAAUGGUAGUUACAGAGGGGAGCGAAGCAGAGAUGUGGAGCGAAUCUCAGAAAAGCUACCCAAGUUCGGAUUGAGGUCUGCAACUCGACCUCAUGAAGCCGGAAUCGCUAGUAAUCGCGCAACAUCAUGGUGCGGUGAAUACGUUCCCGGGCCU